rnacentral:rRNA from 1 species
CUGCUGCCUCCCGUAGGAGUCUGGGCCGUGUCUCAGUCCCAAUGUGGCCGGCCAACCUCUCAGUCCGGCUACUGAUCGUCGCCUUGGUGGGCCGUUGCCCCGCCAACUAGCUAAUCAGACGCGAGCUCAUCUCAGAGCGAUAAAUCUUUGGCGUCCAGAGAGAUGCCUCCCAGACGCAUCAUGCGGUAUUAGCGGCUGUUUCCAACCGUUAUUCCCGACUCCAAGGCAGAUUG